GUCUACGGCCAUGCCACCCUGAACAAGCCCGAUCCCGUCUGAUCUUGUAAGCUAAGCAGGGUCAGGCCUAGUUAGUACUUGGAUGGGAGACCACCUAGGAAGACCAGGUGCUGUAGACG
rnacentral:rRNA from 1 species